AAGAAGAUAAGCUAAGGCUAAGCUAGUGGGUUCAUACCUCAUUUAUGGAAUAGUUUCCUCUUUUUA
rnacentral:tRNA from 1 species